UACGGAGGGUGCGAGCGUUGUCCGGAAUCAUUGGGCGUAAAGGGCGCGUAGGUGGCCUGGUCAGUCCGUGGUGAAAGCGCGGGGCCCAACCCCGCGUCGGCCAUGGAUACUGCGAGGCUGGAGCACUGUAGAGGCAGGCGGAAUUCCAGGUGUAGCGGUGAAAUGCGUAGAUAUCUGGAGGAACACCGGUGGCGAAGGCGGCAUCCUGGACCGGCAUUGACGCUGAGGCGCGAAAGCCAGGGGAGCAAACGGG
rnacentral:rRNA from 1 species